GAACCGAAACCAGUUGACCGAUUCGAACCAAGCUGACACUUGAAUUGAAAUUCUCGAACCAAACUGAGCCUUCUGAACCGGGUUUUAACCCUACUGAGUUGACCCGAGUGGACUCGGGUUUGACCGAGUCUCGAACAGAAGUUGAUGUUGCCUGUGGUUGACCUAACCUUACUGAGUUGACCGAACACUUCAACCAAUCUGGCCUGAGUGGAUCCGAACCUGACCUGGAUCAAUCUUGAGCCGAAAAGGAGUCGUACAGAAAUUAAACCCGAAUCAAAAGCUGAACAUCACUACUCGGUGAACGAAAGAGAAGAAUGAUUAAACGGAAUAGAUAAUAAAACUCACCGGAAAAGUAACGGCUGUAACCGUUAAUUGGCAUCAUCACCGUCUUCACCAUCACAUCGCUCAUCAUCUUCAUGUAUCAUCUUUAUCAGAAGAACGGCCGGAGAAACGACCUGAUUUCCGGCUCCUGUCGUCGGAGAAAGAGGGUGUCGCCUGGUUUGUGUGGGUGUCGUCAGAAAGAGGAACGAGAUGAAGGGUGUCGCUGACUGCCGUAUCCAUCACCGUCGCACCGCCGGUGAUCAUCACCAGUGACGAAACAGACAAGGGGGUGUGAGUGGUGUGUGAUUGCGGAGGUGUCUUGCCGGAGAGGACCACCGGCUUCACGGUUCCGCCGGCCGCCGGUCACUGGACCGAGAGGGUGUCUUGGUUUAGGUUAUGUAUGAUUUUGAGAGGAUAAUGUUCCAGACAAGAAAUGAGAGGGAAAAGGAGAGGAGUCGGUGUAUGCGGCUGUAAAGUGAAUGGAAUUAGGGUUUAGCUUCCUUUUUAUACUUAGGUUAGAGUAAUGGGUUUUGGGCUUGGGCCCAAGGCCCACAAGCCCAAGUCUCGUGUUUUAAGUGGCCCGCUAACUCCUACGAAACCCGUUUUCACGAUCUGGACUCCAUAAGCAUUGUAAAAUAUAAUUUUAUUAUCAAAUACGUAAAACAUGAGCGCUAUUUUAUCGUUGUCGCGUUUGAUCGUCGGUUACAUAAAAAGUGCGUAAAAUGCGUCGUUUGUUCGUUUCAACCCGUUUUUCAAUCUGGUUUCGACCACGGUUGUUAAAAUUUAAAGUACGAAUCUAAAAUAUAUCAUAAAAUUUUAAUAUUUGUAGUCGUUGUCAGUAUUUUGUUUGGUUUCAGUUUGUUACCGUUUAAAUUCCAGCAGUUUCACUGCAGAUCAUCAUACGUGUACUGAAUUGUCGAAUAGAUGUUUCAAGGCACUCCAAAGGCCUAAUUAAGUUAAUCCACGUCUUAAACACUAUCUAUUAUUGUUUUAAACGUUCGCUAAUCACGUAAUUAGAACCCGUUAAUUACCAGUUGUCACAUUCUCCCCCUGUUGCAGAAAUUUCGUCCUCGAAAUUUAGAUUAUGUUAUCUCCUCAGAGUUGUGUCAUUCCUAGGUAAGUCUGAAUAAUACAAAAGUGAUUGACCGCGUAAACGAAUUAAAACUUAUUCGAAUUAUUAUAUGAAUGUAAAGACAUUUU
rnacentral:lncRNA from 1 species